rnacentral:rRNA from 1 species
GACGAACGCUGGCGGCGUGCCUAAUACAUGCAAGUUGAGCGCUGAAGGUUGGUACUUGUACCCACUGGAUGAGCAGCGAACGGGUGAGUAACGCGUGGGGAAUCUGCCUUUUAGCGGGGGACAACAUUUGGAAACGAAUGCUAAUACCGCAUAAAAACUUUAAACACAAGUUUUAAGUUUGAAAGAUGCAAUUGCAUCACUCAAAGAUGAUCCCGCGUUGUAUUAGCUAGUUGGUGAGGUAAAGGCUCACCAAGGCGAUGAUACAUAGCCGACCUGAGAGGGUGAUCGGCCACAUUGGGACUGAGACACGGCCCAAACUCCUACGGGAGGCAGCAGUAGGGAAUCUUCGGAAAUGGACGAAAGUCUGACCGAGCAACGCCGCGUGAGUGAAGAAGGUUUUCGGAUCGUAAAACUCUGUUGGUAGAGAAGAAAGUUGGUGAGAGUGGAAAGCUCAUCAAGUGACGGUAACUACCCAGAAAGGGACGGCUAACUACGUG